rnacentral:lncRNA from 10 species
AGAUCAAAAACUAAUUAUUUACUCCCAAGAUACAAUGGUGUUACAGGCAUUUGGUAUACAUUCUCAUUUUCAAAAAGAUAAAUCAGCCAAAAGAAAGGGGCUACAGGCCCCAUGCAGUCUGAAACCCAGAGGGCAGUCAUUAAAUCCUAAAGAUUUAAGAUAAUCCCCUUUGACUCCAUGCCCUGCAUCCAGGGCACACUGUUGUAAGGGGUGGGCUUCCAAGGCCUUGGGCAGCUCUGCCCCUAUGGCUUUGCAGGGCGCAGCUACAUGGCUGCCUCCAUGGAAUGGAACUGAGUGUCUGUGGCUUUUCUCAGAUCAGGAUGCAAGCUGCCCGUGGUUCUACCAUCUUGGGGUCUGGAGGGCAGCAGCCUCCUUCCCUCAGCUCCACUAGGCAAUGCCCUAGUGGGGACUCCGUUUGGGGGUCCAACCCCACAUUUCCCCUCUGCACUGCCCUAGUAGAGGUUCUCUGUGAGGGCUCUGCCCCUGCAACAAGCUUGUGCUUGGGCAUCUAGGCUUUCUCAUACAUCCUCUGAAAUCUAGGUAGAAGCCAAAAAGCUUCCUUUAUACUUACAUUCUGGGCACCUGCAGACUUAAAACCAGGUAGAUGCCACCAAGGUUUAUGACUUGAACUCUCUGGAACAGUGCUUUGAGUGGGGAUCUGGGCCUGGCCCCUGAAACCAUUAUUUCCUUCUAUCCCUCUGGGCCUGUGAUGGAGAGGUUAUUUUCAAGAUCUCUGAAAUGCUUUCAAAGCCUUUUUCCCACUGUCUUGGAUAUUAGCAUAUGGCUCCCUUUUAGUCAUUCUAACCUCUCUAGCAAAUGGUUGCUCUGCAGCCUGCUUGGAUUCUUUCUCUGUUACAUGACCAGGCCACAAAUUUUCCAAACUUUUAUUCUCCAUUUCCCUUUUAAAUAUAAAUUCCAACUUUUAAGUCAUUUCUUUGCUCUCAUCUGAUCAUAGGCUAUUAGAAGCAGUCAUACUAAUUCUUGAAUGCUUUGCUUCUUAGAAAUUUCUUCCACUAGACACCCUAAAUCAUCACUCUUAAGUUCAAACAUCUGCAGAUCCCUAUUACCUGGACUUAAUGCAGCCAAGUUUUUUGCUAGUGCAUAACAGAUGUGACCUUUACUCUGGUUCCCAGCAAGUUCCUUAUUUCCAUCGGAAACCUCAUCAUCCUGGCCUUCACUGUCCACAUCUCUUAUCAGCUAUCUUGGUUACAACCAUGUAACCAAUCUCUACAAAGUUCCAAACUUUCCCUCAUCUUCUUCUCUUCUUCUGAGCCCACCAAAUUCUUCAAACUUCUGCCCACUACCCAGUUCCAAAGCCACUUCUACAUCUUCAGGUAUCUUUGUUGCAGCACUCUACUCCUCAGUAUCAAUUUUAUGUGUUAGUCUUUUCUUGCACUGCUAUAAAGAAAUACCUGAAGCUCAGUAAUUUCUAAAAAAAAAAGUUUAAAUAGCUUAUGGUUCUGCAGGCUGUACAAGCAUGACACCAACAUUUGCUUGGCUUCUAGUGAGGGCCUAAGGAAGCUUACAAUCAUGGUGAAAGGCAAAGGGGAAAGCUACAGUAUCACAUGGUGAGGUGAGAGAGGGAGCAAGAAAAAGAAAGAGGAGGUACCAGACUCUUUGAAAAAAAAAAAAACAAAAAAAAAAAACAGAUGUCAUGUGAACUAACUGAGAACUCACUCAUCACCAAGCAGAUGAUGCUAAGCCAUUCGUGAGGGUUCCACCCCCAUGAUCCAAUCACCUCCCACCAGGUCCCAUUUCCAACCCUGGGAAUAAUAUCUUGACAUGAGAUUUUUGAGGGGACAAACAUCCAAACCAUAUCACCUAUUGAACCACUUGGGAAAAUAAAGACGAUCAACAGUCUAUUAUUAUAUAGAAGUGACUUAAAACGUGAUGGAACCAGAACAACAUCUUAUCCACAGGCAAAGAAAUGGGUGAAAAUAAAAUACUUUCUGCUUUCCCUCUAUGGAGUCCUGUGUAUGCAAUGUUAAUGUUAUGUUAAGUGCCUAUUUUGAUGAAAGGCAAUGCUGAAGAUGAUACAGUGUCCCCAGUAAGUACUUAGUGUAAGGGAGGCAAAACUUUAUUUCUAUCAGGAUUUUCAGCUAGGCCUGAGAAUUAAAUU